AAUCAACGCUGGCGGCGUGCCUAACACAUGCAAGUCGAACGCGGUUACCCCGCAAGGGGUAACUGAGUGGCGAACGGGUGAGUAACGCGUGGGUGACCUACCUUCGAGUGGGGGAUAACGUCCCGAAAGGGACGCUAAUACCGCAUAACAUUCUGCGUUUGAAGACGUGGAAAUCAAAGCCGGGGAUCGCAAGACCUGGCGCUUGAAGAGGGGCCCGCGUCCGAUUAGCUAGUUGGUGAGGUAAAGGCNCACCAAGGCAACGAUCGGUAGCUGGUCUGAGAGGACGACCAGCCACACUGGGACUGAGACACGGCCCAGACUCCUACGGGAGGCAGCAGUGGGGAAUUUUGGACAAUGGGCGCAAGCCUGAUCCAGCCAUGCCGCGUGCGGGAAGAAGGCCU
rnacentral:rRNA from 1 species